GUAGGUGGCAAGCGUUGUCCGGAAUUAUUGGGCGUAAAGCGCGCGCAGGCGGUCCUUUAAGUCUGAUGUGAAAGCCCACGGCUCAACCGUGGAGGGUCAUUGGAAACUGGGGGACUUGAGUACAGAAGAGGAAAGCGGAAUUCCAAGUGUAGCGGUGAAAUGCGUAGAGAUUUGGAGGAACACCAGUGGCGAAGGCGGCUUUCUGGUCUGUAACUGACGCUGAGGCGCGAAAGCGUGGGGAGCAAACAGGAUUAGAUACCCUGGUAGUCCACGCCGUAAACGAUGAGUGCUAAGUGUUAGGGGGUUUCCCGCCCCUUUAGUGCUGCAGCUAACGCAUUAAGCACUCCGCCUGGGGAGUACGGCCGCAAGGCUG
rnacentral:rRNA from 1 species